UUCCCCCCUUCUUUCCUGCUUUUCUUUCUCUCUCAUAUAUAAAGAGAGAGAAAGAAAAGCAGGAAAGAAGGGGGGAA
rnacentral:miRNA from 1 species